rnacentral:rRNA from 1 species
GAUCGAGUUUGAUCCUGGCUCAGGAUGAACGCUAGCGGCAGGCCUAAUACAUGCAAGUCGAACGGUGUAGCAAUACAUAGUGGCGCACGGGUGCGUAACACGUAUGCAACCUACCUUAUACUUAGGGAUAGCCUUUGGAAACGGAGAUUAAUACUUAAUGGUAUAUUAGACUGGCAUCGGUUUGAUAUUAAAGAUUUAUUGGUAUAAGAUGGGCAUGCGUCCAAUUAGUUAGUUGGUGAGGUAACGGCUCACCAAGACGAUGAGUUGGUAGGGGAACUGAGAGGUUAACUCCCCGACACUGGCACUGAGACUACGGGGCCAGACUCCGUACGGGAGGCAGC